GAUGAACGCUGGCGGCGUGCCUAAUACAUGCAAGUCGAGCGAACGGACGAGAAGCUUGCUUCUCUGAUGUUAGCGGCGGACGGGUGAGUAACACGUGGAUAACCUACCUAUAAGACUGGGAUAACUUCGGGAAACCGGAGCUAAUACCGGAUAAUAUUUUGAACCGCAUGGUUCAAAAGUGAAAGACGGUCUUGCUGUCACUUAUAGAUGGAGCCGCGCUGCAUUAGCUAGUUGGUAAGGUAACGGCUUACCAAGGCAACGAUGCAUAGCCGACCUGAGAGGGUGAUCGGCCACACUGGAACUGAGACACGGUCCAGACUCCUACGGGAGGCAGCAGUAGGGAAUCUUCCGCAAUGGGCGAAAGCCUGACGGAGCAACGCCGCGUGAGUGAUGAAGGUCUUCGGAUCGUAAAACUCUGUUAUUAGGGAAGAAAAUAUGUGUAAGUAACUGUGCACAUCUUGACGGUACCUAAUCAGAAAGCCACGGCUAACUACGUG
rnacentral:rRNA from 1 species